rnacentral:lncRNA from 1 species
UAAACAUUAAGUUAACCCUAUUCCAAAUACGUUUUUAAACUAUUCAAAUGAUGAAAGUUAUUGUUGUUUUUAAGCGUUUAUUAGCAAGUGGGAACGACCAAUAUGGCCGCCAUCUGUUCAAAUGGGGGUAACCGCUGGAAUAUUCUUGGCUUCAAUUUUAAUAAAAGAGAUGCGCUAUCUAGUGUAUAUAAGAUAUCUAUG